AAACACUGGGCAACCUCUUGGCUCAGAUGUCUUUUCUGAUCCAGUCUAGCCUGGAUUUGUCCCGUGCCAUGCUAAGUCACUUCAGUCAUGAGGACUCUUUGCGACCCUAUGGACUGUAGCCCUCCAGGCUCCCCUGUCUUUGGGGAUUCUCCAGGCAAGAAUACUGGGGUGACUUUCAUUAGGUGCUGGGUUGGAAGAGUCAAAUUGAUUAGGACUUCCAGUGAUGAGUGAUCACCAGCUUCCUUACCAGAAGCCCAGUCUUCAUUAGCAACCAAAGUCUGCAUGGCUAAGAUGAGCCUUCAUGAAAUGGAACAGAACCAUAUGGUCCUUGCUGCCGCCCCCAACCCCCAUCAUGUCCUCUGCCUGCCUUUUGCCUGUGGAAAACUGUAGUCAAAGAAUAAGUUUAAUCAGAGAAGUGAGAAAUGCUGAAACAAAGGAAAACAGUCUAAGGAGACUAAACAAUAAUACUAUAGUCAUUAAGCAUGGUCAAGGACCUUUAGUUCUUUCUCAAGGGCUAUAGAUAAUAUUCUGAGGCAUAUCCUGUGAGCUCUCUUAUAGAGACUAAAAUCCCGGGUGGAAAAGUUAACCACAUGAUGACCAGACUGUACCCAGGACAUGAGCUACCACAAUUCUGAGAACUGACCACAAAGAAUUGGGAACAAGUGCACCCUGGAAAUGAAGAUUAACUGUACCUAAAACAACCAAGAUGAUGCUGUUCAGACCACCGAUGACCAAUUUGAAGAUGACUGUUAGAAAUGACUAUGCUAUUUCUGCAUGUAGGCCCCCUGCCCCAGACUGUCUAUAAAUGCUCUUACCCCUGCUUAUCAGGGGCGGGGAGUCUGCCUUUGGACAGAUGUCCACCACUCUCCCCGCCAAGUGGCAGGCCUCUAAAAUGAAGCAAACUUUCCUUUCCACCAACCUGGCCUGCUCAUUGGCUUUUGAGCAGCAAGGAGCCAGACCCCCCAUGCAUACCUUUUGGUAACAUUCAUAGCUUUACACUUAACAUACGGUAUGGGGGCAGGAAGACACACAUUCUUGCUUGGGGUAAGUGGGGCAACACAAAAAUAUCUCCCAGUCAGUCGCCAUCAGUCUCAGGAUUUCUUUCAUUUUGGGCUUGUAGCAGCCCUGUCUCUGUUCCUCCGACCUCUUCCUUAUAGGAGGGAAUUGGAUUUCUCCCCAGGCCCUUUCCUUGAGACUGGCUUUUUGGGCUUU
ensembl:lncRNA